rnacentral:rRNA from 1 species
UACGAAGGGGGCUAGCGUUGUUCGGAAUUACUGGGCGUAAAGCGCACGUAGGCGGCUUUUUAAGUCAGAGGUGAAAUCCUGGAGCUCAACUCCAGAACUGCCUUUGAUACUGAGAGGCUUGAGUCCGGGAGAGGUGAGUGGAACUGCGAGUGUAGAGGUGAAAUUCGUAGAUAUUCGCAAGAACACCAGUGGCGAAGGCGGCUCACUGGCCCGGUACUGACGCUGAGGUGCGAAAGCGUGGGGAGCAAACAGG